rnacentral:rRNA from 1 species
GACGUAGGGCGCAAGCGUUGUCCGGAAUUAUUGGGCGUAAAGAGCUCGUAGGCGGCUUGUCGCGUCGACUGUGAAAACCUGCAGCUCAACUGUGGGCUUGCAGUCGAUACGGGCAGGCUAGAAUUCGGUAGGGGAGACUGGAAUUCCUGGUGUAGCGGUGAAAUGCGCAGAUAUCAGGAGGAACACCGGUGGCGAAGGCGGGUCUCUGGGCCGAUACUGACGCUGAGGAGCGAAAGCUAGGGGAGCAAACGGG